CCCAUUAUAAACUUAAACAUAAGCUACAUCUUGAUCUGAUAUUAUUUAAAUUAAAAAUUAAGAAAAUUAAUAUUCUUAUAAAAUAUUCAUUAACGACGAUAUAUAAACUACAAAAACAAAUUUAAGUUAGAUCCAUCGUGGACUAUCGAUUACAAAACAGGUUCCUCUGAAUAGACUAAAAUACCGCCAAAUUUUUUAAAUUUCAAGAUCUUAACUAAUACUACUUAAAUAUUAUAAAUUAAAUUUUUAAUAAUAGGGUAUCUAAUCCUAGUUAUANGAG
rnacentral:rRNA from 1 species